GAUUGAACGCUGGCGGCAGGCCUAACACAUGCAAGUCGGACGGUAGCACAGGRGAGCUUGCUCYCCGGGUGACGAGUGGCGGACGGGUGAGUAAUGUCUGGGAAACUGCCCGGUGGAGGGGGAUAACUACUGGAAACGGUAGCUAAUACCGCAUAACGUCUUCGGACCAAAGUGGGGGAYCUUAGGGCCUCACGCCACCGGAUGUGCCCAGAUGGGAUUAGCUGGUAGGUGRGGUAACGGCUCACCUAGGCGACGAUCCCUAGCUGGUCUGAGAGGAUGACCAGCCACACUGGAACUGAGACACGGUCCAGACUCCUACGGGAGGCAGCAGUGGGGAAUAUUGCACAAUGGGCGCAAGCCUGAUGCAGCCAUGCCGCGUGUAUGAAGAAGGCCUUCGGGUUGUAAAGUACUUUCAGCGGGGAGGAAGGCGGUGAGGUUAAUAACCUUGCCGAUUGACGUUACCCGCAGAAGAAGCACCGGCUAACUCC
rnacentral:rRNA from 1 species